ACUAGACGGACCUUUGUUGGCAAAGUAAUGUCUCUGCUUUUCAAUAUGCUAUCUAAGUUGGAACUUCAUAAACUGAUGACCAGUGAGAGCUGUGCAUCUUUGCUGGGAGCAAUAUGAACUGUGAAUAAACAGUUGCUUUGUCUCCAUGUAGCUUUAUGAAAGCUCAGGCACACAUCUUCACUCCUACCUGCUGGCGCUUGUAUGCUUCACAAAGCCUACCUUAAAGAAGACAUCAUCCUCACCUUUUGACUUGCUCUCUCACACUGUUUACCCUUUUGUCACUUGAACACACCAAAUUGUGUUAAAGCACUCUAUAUGGAUUGGCCCAAUUAUCUGGCCACUUCAGAUCCAGAAACACCAGACACUGAACAGGGAGCUCUAUGGAAUGAUGGAAAUUGGGGGGCGUGGAGAACAGGCAUCCAGCAUAAGUCUCUGUUUGCAUAUCAGUAAUGUUGAGAACCCAAGGAACACAGAGUUAAAAUGAUUGACAGGACCUGGGCUGGAUGUCAUUCCUUCAUUUAAAUCACCAGCACAUAUAUCCACCUGAUACACCCAGGCUGCUUGUAAUUCCCAAGAUGACAGAUUGGAUCAUAUCUGACUACAGUCUGUCUUCAUUAAAGAACCACCAUUAACUAUGGAACUGUUCUGAAGCCAGAGGGAAAUCAGUCGCUGUGGAAUAAUUGCACUUUUCAAGGCAAAAGGGAACAAAAGUCCAGACAAAGCAA
ensembl:lncRNA